rnacentral:rRNA from 1 species
AGCUCCAAUAGCGUAUAUUAAAGUUGCUGCAGUUAAAAAGCUCGUAGUUGGAUUUGUGGCGCGGCCGUCCGGCGGGGGCUCUUCACUGAGCCCGUUUGUCCUGGUUUUCGGCCGCUCCUUUCUCGGGUAGCGUGUGGCUGGCAUUAGGUUGUUGGCCGCUUCGCGCCCGUCUUUUACUAUGGAAUAAUAAGAUAGGGCCACGACGGUCUAUUUUGUUGGUUUGCACGUUGUGGUAAUGGUUAACAGGAAUAGUUGGGGGUAUUCGUAUUCAAUUGUCAGAGGUGAAAUUCUUGGAUUUGUGGAAGACGAACUACUGCGAAAGCAUUUACCAAGGAUGUUUUCA